GACGAAUCGUCCUAACGUUGUUCGGAAUCACUGGGCUUAAAGGGCGCGUAGGCGGGCUCUCAAGUCCGGGGUGAAAUCUUUCGGCUCAACCGGAAAAUAGCCUUGGAUACUGGGAGUCUCGAGCGAGGUAGGGCGGGUGGAACUUCCGGUGGAGCGGUGAAAUGCGUUGAUAUCGGAAGGAACGCCGGUGGCGAAAGCGACCCGCUGGACCUCUUCUGACGGCUGAGGCGCGAAAGCCAGGGAGC
rnacentral:rRNA from 1 species